rnacentral:ribozyme from 1 species
CAAAUUUUCAAACAUUUAUUAGAGAAAGAAAAGAAGCAGUUGCUGCUCAAUUAAAAGCCGCGGGGUGGAAACCAGAUACGGAGAAAAAUUUUGCUUCUGUUCUUCGUCCUUUGUCAACUUUGUUUUGCUUUUUUGUUUUUCUUUUCCUU